rnacentral:lncRNA from 1 species
GUGUAGGCCUCGGGGUGUCUUCCACCAGACUGCUGGUCUGUGGGACUGCUCUGGUUCAGUUCCCCCAGUGAUAGUGACACAGGCAUGGAGAGUCCAGCUUGUGUUUCCCUGUAGCUGGGUCUGGUGUUACUGGGCCUGGGUAGAGGUGGAGGAUAGGAUUGUUACUGGGCCUGGGUAGAGGUGGAGGAUAGGAUUGUUACUGGGCCUGGGUAGAGGUGGAGGAUAGGAUUGUUACUGGGCCUGGGUAGAGGUGGAGGAUAGGAUUGUAACUGGGUCUGGUGUUACUGGGCCUGGGUAGAGGUGGAGGAUAGGAUUGUAGCUGGGUCUGGUGUUACUGGGCCUGGGUAGAGGUGGAGGAUAGGAUUGUAGCUGGUUCUGGUGUUACUGGGCCUGGGUAGAGGUGGAGGAUAGGAUUGUAACUGGGUCUGGUGUUACUGGGCCUGGGUAGAGGUGGAAGAUAGGAUUGUAGCUGGUUCUGGUGUUACUGGGCCUGGGUAGAGGUGGAGGAUAGGAUUGUAACUGGGUCUGGUGUUACUGGGCCUGGGUAGAGGUGGAGGAUAGGAUUGUAACUGGGUCUGGUGUUACUGGGCCUGGGUAGAGGUGGAGGAUAGGAUUGUAGCUGGGUCUGGUGUUACUGGGCCUGGGUAGAGGUGGAGGAUAGGAUGGUAAACAGAGGCCUGACUUGGCAGACAUGUUUAUGUCUGUGUUGCCAUCUGUGACUGUGUGUGUUCUGUGUGUGUUUGUGUGUUCUGUGUGUGUGUUUGUUCUGUGUGU